CUCAUCGAGAGACGUCAAAACAAUCGCCACUCAGGGGUUCGUCCCAUUUUACCUCCCAUCCCUCUCACUACGCGGCUACUCUCUCCCGAGAGAUACCCAUGGGCGCGGAUGAACAGGCUUUUGUUAUCGCGAGGAAGUGUCAUCACCCAAUCAACGUCGCACACGUCAUUUCCAUUUGCCGACGUACUUAUAUAUUGGUGUGACGGUCGGAUGAACUCUAUGUGAUUCAAGGUUGCUUAGAUUCGGCCUAGCAAGUAAAGGCUUCUUUCUGUCCGUGAACGCCUUAGGGCUAUGAAGUGCGCGCCGUGUCCGUAAAGUUAAAAGUUAAAAAGUACAAGUAAGGUCUACAAGUUAAAAGACGUAAAACACGGAAAGUUAAAAGUGGCUAAAAAUAUAAGUUGUAUGUUUGAUAGAAAUACUAAAAACGUCGUAAAAGUUUAUAAUAACAAAAUAAUAACAAGUUACACCGAAUUACGAACGAAAAGCCGUAAAACCACGUGAAAUGUUACAUAGAAGAAACACUGAAACAGAUUAAAAACA